AGGACGAACGCUGGCGGCGUGCUUAACACAUGCAAGUCGAGCGAGGCCCUCUCUUCGGAGAGGUGCCCUAGCGGCGAACGGGUGAGUAACACGUGGGCAACCUGCCCCUAGCACUGGGAUAAGCCCGGGAAACCGGGUCUAAUACCGGAUAUGACCUUCAAGGGCAUCCUCGAAGGUGUAAAGGAUUCCGGCUAGGGAUGGGCCCGCGGCCUAUCAGCUUGUUGGUGGGGUAACGGCCCACCAAGGCAACGACGGGUAGCCGGCCUGAGAGGGCGACCGGCCACGACUGGGACUGAGACACGGCCCAGACUCCUACGGGAGGCAGCAGUGGGGAAUAUUGCACAAUGGGCGAAAGCCUGAUGCAGCGACGCCGCGUGAGGGAUGACGGCCUUCGGGUUGUAAACCUCUUUCAGCUCCGACGAAGCGAAAGUGACGGUAGGAGCAGAAGAAGCACCGGCCAACUACGUGCCAGCAGCCGCGGU
rnacentral:rRNA from 1 species